rnacentral:rRNA from 1 species
UGAUUGGCUUCGGCCUCAUAUCCUUUCAAACCUGUGCACCUCUUGGCUCCGGCCAAUUCAAACAUGUGUCAUGAAUGUAAAUAUACAAAAACAUAAACAAAACUUUCAACAACGGAUCUCUUGGCUCUCGCAUCGAUGAAGAACGCAGCGAAAUGCGAUAAGUAAUGUGAAUUGCAGAAUUCAGUGAAUCAUCGAAUCUUUGAACGCACCUUGCGCCUUUUGGUAUUCCGAAAGGCAUGCCUGUUUGAGUGUCAUGUAAUCUCAACCCCUCAGGUUUCUGACCUGGGGAGGUUGGACUUGGGUGCUGCCGUUCGGCUCACCUUAAAAGCGUCAGUGGGAUAAGCACCGGUUGGACGCAAUAAGUUUCGUCAAGCCCUGGUGUGAUGCCUGCUCACAACCCCCAUCUUUUAUCUUGACCUCAAAUCAGGUAGGACUACCCGCUAAACUUAAGCAUAUCAAUAA